rnacentral:rRNA from 1 species
UACGUAGGGUGCGAGCGUUGCCCGGAUUUAUUGGGCGUAAAGGGCGCGUAGGCGGCCACGCACGUCCGUUGUGAAAUCGCCCGGCUCAACUGGGCGGGGUCAGCGGAUACGGUGUGGCUAGAGCAAGCUAGGGGGCAAUGGAAUUCCCGGUGUAGUGGUGGAAUGCGUAGAUAUCGGGAGGAACACCAGUGGCGAAGGCGGUUGCCUGGAGCUUUGCUGACGCUGAUGCGCGAAAGCGUGGGGAUCAAACAGG